rnacentral:rRNA from 1 species
UACAGAGGUCUCAAGCGUUGUUCGGAAUUAUUGGGCGUAAAGCGCGUGUAGGCGGCUUUGCAAGUCGGGUGUGAAAUCCCUCAGCUUAACUGAGGAAGUGCGCCCGAAACUGCAGGGCUUGAGUGCCGGAGAGGGUGGCGGAAUUCCCCAAGUAGAGGUGAAAUUCGUAGAUAUGGGGAGGAACACCGGUGGCGAAGGCGGCCACCUGGCCGGUAACUGACGCUGAGACGCGAAAGCAUGGGGAGCAAACAGG